rnacentral:lncRNA from 1 species
GUAAACUCUAUGAAGCAAAGACAUUGUGUUGUUCACAGCUGUAUCUACAAAGCCUGGAUUAGUGGUUGGGUGCACGGGCCAUUGGAUCCUAAGAAGGACCAAUAUGGAAGUGUCAAGCGAUAGGUUACAGAAGAUGAUUAGGAACAUCCUGUCUGAUGCACUGACAUUUGGGCAGUAAGCCAAAUAAUGAGGAGAAGUGAGCCAUGCUAAUACCUAGAAGGACGGCUUUCCAGGAGAAGGGAACACUAAGGGUAAAAGCCUGAGGCAGCACAAAGGAGACCUUGCAGCUGGAGCAUUUCAAGGUGUGUAUCUGUGUGUUAGUGAGAGUUCUCCAGAGAAAGAGAACCCAAUACAUACAUGCAUAUAUGUGUGUGUGUGUGUACAUAUGUGUGUGUGUGUAUGUAUAUAUUAGUCCAUUUUCACGCUGCUGAAAAAAACAUACCCAAGACUGGGCAAUUUACAAAACAAAAG